GACGAACGCUGGCGGCGUGCUUAACACAUGCAAGUCGAACGAGAUCCACCGCGUGGCAACACUCGGGAAGAUCUAGUGGCGAACGGGUGCGUAACACGUGAGAAACCCACCCCGAACUCU
rnacentral:rRNA from 1 species